rnacentral:misc_RNA from 1 species
GUGAAUCAUCGAAUCUUUGAACGCACCUUGCACUCUCUGGUAUUCCGGAGAGUAUGCCUGUUCGAGUGUCGUGAAGUACUCAACUUGCAGCUUUGUUGCUUGCAAGCUUGGAAUUGGGACCUGUCGGCGCAAGUUGACUGUCCUGAAAUGCAUUAGCCCUGAAUGCGAUCGUCGCAACUAAGCGUGAUAAACUUUGUCUUCGCUGAAAGCGUUCGUUCGGAGGGCUCACAGAAACCCAUACUUUUUCACCUUUGACAUCGAAUCAGGUAGGAUUACCCGCUGAACUUAAGCAUAUCAAUA